ACCAGUGGUUGUGAUGACAGAAAAAGUUAAAGGAUCAGACCUUGUGUUGGAAGCAGUAGUUGAAGCAUAGGUAGCACAUAACGCCAAACAAAUGGUUUCACAACCUGAAAAUCAAAUACAGGGAACUGAAAAGUGCAAAAGCAUCGUUGGGACCAUUGAGAAUUGUCACGUGAUAGAGGUAUUUUGUUCACAUUUAAACUGGUUGGUGUAUAAGCAUGUGGGGGUGUUUAGAGUGUAGGGUGUAAGGCCAGGUGUCUAUCAGAUCAGAUGUGGGUCUUUGAUAACCUUAAAAAAAAAAAAAAAAAAAAAAAGAUCAGAUGUGGGUCAACUUGUUUUUGGGUGUGCAUAUUAAACACAUUAGUUGCUCAUCGCAUAUUUGUGUUUGCGUUUCUACAUAUUUACAGUACAGAAAGUGAUUUAUGUUUAUAUGAGACUUUUUUAAUCGGUUUCCUCGGGCAAGCAGCUACUGAAAUCAGGAAGUAUCAGCUGGAUGCAGAACUGCGUACCCUUACCCUCUAGGGGGAAAAGUUUUUUAAAAUUCAGCAGGUGUUUGAUAAAAAGUCUUGCUUGAUGUUUUAGUUGUGAUGUAUGCAGUAGUAAUAUGUAUUUGCUCACUACAAUCCACCUGAAAUACAUUGGAAUACGAUCAUAUUCUGCCGUUUGUCUU